rnacentral:rRNA from 1 species
GACGAACGCUGGCGGCGUGCUUAACACAUGCAAGUCGAACGGAAAGGCCCUGCUUGCAGGGUACUCGAGUGGCGAACGGGUGAGUAACACGUGGGUUAUCUGCCCUGCACCUCGGGAUAAGCCUGGGAAACUGGGUCUAAUACCGGAUAGGAGCCAUUUUUAGUGUGAUGGUUGGACAGUUUUUUCGGUGUAGGAUGAGCUCGCGGCCUAUCAGCUUGUUGGUGGGGUAAUGGCCUACCAAGGCGGCGACGGGUAGCCGGCCUGAGAGGGUGGACAGCCACAUUGGGACUGAGAUACGGCCCAGACUCCUACGGGAGGCAGCAGUGGGGAAUAUUGCACAAUGGGCGCAAGCCUGAUGCAGCGACGCCGCGUGGGGGAUGACGGCCUUCGGGUUGUAAACUCCUUUCGCUAGGGACGAAGCUUUUUGUGACGGUACCUAGAUAAGAAGCACCGGCUAACUACGUG